UACGUAGGGUGCGAGCGUUGUCCGGAAUUAUUGGGCGUAAAGAGCUCGUAGGCGGUCUGUCGCGUCGAUCGUGAAAACUUGGGGCUUAACCCUGAGCUUGCGGUCGAUACGGGCAUGACUGGAGUUCGGCAGGGGAGACUGGAAUUCCUGGUGUAGGCGGUGAAAUGCGCAGAUAUCAGGAGGAACACCGGUGGCGAAGGCGGUCUCUGGGCCUUACCUGACGCUGAGGAGCGAAGCGUGGGAGCGAACAGG
rnacentral:rRNA from 1 species